CCUACGUGUGGCAGCAGUGAGGAAUAUUGGUCAAUGGGCGCGAGCCUGAACCAGCCAAGUAGCGUGAAGGAUGACUGCCCUACGGGUUGUAAACUUCUUUUAUCAAGGAAUAAAGUGAGGCACGUGUGCCUUUUUGUAUGUACUUUAUGAAUAAGGAUCGGCGAACUCCGUGCCAGCAGCCGCGGUAAUACGGAGGAUCCGAGCGUUAUCCGGUUUUAUUGGGUUUAAAGGGAGCGUAGAUGGGUGGUUAAGUCAGUUGUGAAAGUUUGCGGCUCAACCGUAAAAUUGCAAUUGAUACUGGCAGCCUUGAGGACAAUUGAGGUAGGCGGAAUGCGGGGUGUAGCGGUGAAAUGCUUAGAUAUCACGAAGAACUCCGAUUGCGAAGGCAGCUUACUAAACUGCCACUGACAUUGAUGCUCGAAAGUGUGGGUAUCAAACAGGAUUAGAUACCCUGGUAGUC
rnacentral:rRNA from 1 species